GCAGUAUUUAGCAGUUCUUUUUAUGGCUGUUGCAUUUUAUCACUGCUCACAGGGAGAACUCCUGACCCUGCUUGCUCCCCCUUUUUCAAUCUUCAAGGAAAUGCUAUCAUGGUCCACAGGGAACAAACUUUGGUCCAUAUAGAAAGUACAAGUCACACCAGUGCUGCAUGUCUGGUUUCAAUGUGGCAGUUUCCUGAAUUGCAAAAGGCCACUCUGCUACACUGAGCUCUGAGCAGGCACAGACUUUUUGGGGACAAAGAAUGGGAUCCUCUAAAUGGUUCGAGUGGCCUGAAGUUCAGCAGUGUUAAAAGGUUCAUUUAAAUUUUCUCACAAACCUCUCACAACCUCCUUUGUAAGAUGAUUAAUACCAAGUGAAAGUUUCUGUUCUGGGAUCAGCUAUUGCUCAGCUUACCUUGCAGCAGAGCACACUGAGGCCUCAUUCAUUCCCACUCCAACAUAGGCAGUAGUUGCCAGCUGGAAAAUUAUGACAGAUUUGCAUCCUGUUCUGCUCCGUUUAGGAGCCCAUGUUCACUGCCUUGCAGUAACAGUAUAUUUGCACAGCGCCUUUAAGCCCAAAAUAUUGUAGUUUUACAUGACUUAAGGGUGGCCAUUUCUAUCAGCCUUCAAGUGCAGCAACUUCAGGGCUGGAAUGUGGCAGCCAGUUACCAGACCACAGUCCAUAAUCGUGCACUGUGUGAGUGUCUUAUCCAUGUGAAACUGCAAACAGAAUUUGAGCAGGCAGACACCAGGCUGACCUCCCUAAGCCUUACUUUAGCUACAAGAUCUUCAACAGCCAUAAAUAAACAAGCCCUGAGUUGA